CAAAGUCAAACGCAGUGGACAUUGUUGGUUUAAUACUAACCUUUUCAAUUCGGGUCAACCAAUAACUACUACCUAGUGAGGUUGUCAAUAUUGUUAAUCACUAGGAUGUGCUAUUUUACAAUGUCUGGAGACGUAUGGUGAUUUGUGGUCUGGAUGUGUUUGAUACUUUGUUCAAUCAUGAGUUUCAGAGAUUGUAUGCUCUCAGCAAACAAUAUUUAUCUAUUAAAAAUUUCUUUGUCCAUCAUUUUGUUUAGUGCAUAACACAUUUCUUGUGUUUGACUGGUCACAAAUGUCCAGUAACAGGAGACUGGGCCCUAGUCUUCAAGAUUUAGAAGAGGAAAUGCCUUUGCAUGCUGAUACCUGUCUAUUCUUGAAAGAAUAAUGAAUUGAUCAAUAAAGUUCUCUCCGCCACAAAUUAUCUACAAUUAAUGGACAAAAAUUUAUUCACCUUGUCCUGGACAUGGUAUAAUGCAUCUUUUGGACCUUAAUCUGGUCCUCAGUCCAGCACUCUACCUAUUCAAAUCUUUUCUAUCUUGCCAAAACCUGCCUGAUCUUGUGCUCAGUUAGAUUAAUAGAGAAAGAAUCCUUUGAAGGAACUUAAACCAUGAAUGAGGCAUCAGAAAAAGGUGUUUUGCAACAGUUGUCUCAAGUAAAUGAAGCAAAACAUUCCCUCAACAAUCCACCUAGGAGUCCAUGUCAAUUCAAUUAUUAACUAUAAAAUUUGGUAGCAUAUUUUAGUGGCACAACACACACACAUAAACAAACACACACAUCCCUUUAGUUCAGAUUACAGCUGGCUAGGUGCCUUGGAAAGCACAAAGGAAACCAAAGAUAUAUAAAGCAGUCUCUGUAGGUGAGAUUAUCCAUUUUUUAAGAUUUAUGCCAAGUUGCAGUACGUGGUUAAAAGUAAAGAAGGCUGGCAGACACUGAUUUGAAACUAUUAGUAAAUCCAUUAUCCAGCUAAUGAUACAAAACCACAGUGCUUAUCCCUUUGACAAAGGUACCUACAAUUGCUAAAAAUACAUAUUUUCAAUACAAUUUGCUGCCUGCAGUAAAUUUUAGUUCCAUAUUUGGAAAGACAAGAAUUUUCUCUGGGUUUAAGUUUUUAAAAGAACUUUUUGGGCAUCCUUUAUAAAGGUAAAAUAUGCACAGACUAUAAAUUUUCCUUUAUAUAUUGUAGCUGUUACUUGUUCUAUUUUGCUGCUUACAUCUUAUUUAGUCUGCCUCCAUGCCUAAGAAAACCAACUGAAAAGUUCAAAAGUCAUACCUGACUUGAAAACUUCAAAUGAUGGGGACCUCAAAGAGAAUUUACUAUCUCGUGGGCAGUAUCUAUGCAAUCAGAAAAGCCAUCUGCAUCUUCCUUAUUAAUAACCUUACAGAAUGCUUGUCUAACAAUGUCAGACAUCCUGUAAGCUCCCCAGCAUCUCCCUUCUCCAGCAAGAAAUCGAGUGACUGUUGUAACCACAAGGCAGAACAAGAAUUGCUUAUAAGCCUGUCUCUAUUUGGGUUCGGCACGGAACUUGAUCCAGAGAUCCAUUCUGGCUGGUGAAUAAACUGCUUUCUAAAUUGCAAACACCUUGGCUGUCCUGAAUUUUAUUGCCUGGGCUAUUUCAACACAGAAAAAACAGGUCAGCUUAUACU